GUCGCCGUUUUGCGCCGAUUUCGCGUCGCUCUCGCCGCUCGCCGGUUUGGUGGACUAGGAGCCAGCUUUUAUAAGCUUGAGAGGAGUUAACUAGCUGUGAAUUAAACCCCUUAGACCAGAGAUAAACUGCUUUAAAGCUAGUUAAAGAUUUUCGAAGGUAAUUGAGCUUAUUUGGUGACCUUGGGGACUUAUUUAGAAGGUGUUCUAACCUGAGCGGGCUUGCAACAGACCUUUGGAUCAUCCCCAGUUGAUGCGGGAAGGAUUUUGGAAGCUUAAUUUGAG